rnacentral:lncRNA from 1 species
AUAAACUGGCAUGUUCUGAAAGAAUCACUCUGGAUGCUGUGUGGAGAAAACACUGAAAAGAAUUCUAGAGUGAAAGUUUCAUGAAUAUAAGAAGCAAGACAAGGAAGUGGCUUAUGCUUAAGGCCUUAAAGGCAACCACUGUGACAAUCCAGCCAUUCUCUGGAGAAUUCAGCAGAAAGCCAGUUGGAAGAAUUUGUUAUCUCGAUUAUGGAGGGCGACAAGUCCCACAGUCUGCC